UACAGAGGGGGCAAGCGUUGUUCGGAAUUACUGGGCGUAAAGGGCGCGUAGGCGGCCUUCUAAGUCGAACGUGAAAUCCCCGGGCUCAACCCGGGAACUGCGUCCGAGACUGGAAGGCUUGAAUCCGGGAGAGGGAUGUGGAAUUCCUGGUGUAGCGGUGAAAUGCGCAGAUAUCAGGAAGAACACCAAUGGCGAAAGCAGCUUUCUGGGACGGUACUGACGCUGAGACGCGAAAGCGUGGGGAGCGAACAGG
rnacentral:rRNA from 1 species